rnacentral:ncRNA from 1 species
GUGGUACGGGAGGGAGCAGGCGAAGCGUGUCGUUCGUAAUGGAAAGAAAGACACCACUACUUGGCCUCGAGAAAUUACGAAAUCAGUUUGAAAAGCUUCGAAUGGAAGCCCCAGUAAACGGCGGCAGUAACUCUAACUGUCCUAAGGUAGCGAAAUUCCUUGAUCGUAAAAAAAAACCCGGC